rnacentral:misc_RNA from 1 species
UGGCUCUCGCAUCGAUGAAGAACGCAGCGAAAUGCGAUAAGUAAUGUGAAUUGCAGAAUUCAGUGAAUCAUCGAAUCUUUGAACGCACCUUGCGCCCUCUGGUAUUCCGGAGGGCACGCCCGUUCGAGUGUCUUGACAUCAUCACUUCCCCUGCUUUUUUGUGGGUGGAAUGUGGAUCUGGGGGAUUUUGCUGCGGCAGCGCGGCUCCCCUCGAAUACAUCGGCCUUGCCUUGCGGCGCGCCCUGACGUUGUAACUCCCUCGUCUCGGUUGCAUUGCGAGCUGGCCCCGACCUGCCUCUGGAGUGGCGGUCAACUCAUGUUUUGACAUCUGACCUCGAAUCGGGUGGGACUACCCGCUGA